GAAGUAUAUAUGAAACAGGGGCUCCAAUGCAAACUCUUUUGUCUGACAAGCACAAAUCAGCCCAGAACAUCCUCAAACCCAGCUUCAGAAGACGGCAAGGCUGCACAGGCAUUUAAAAACCAACGAUGAGAUGGGCGAGACUCUCCAUCGCUGUCGGGAGGUGAUCUUUCCUGCCUUUUACUUUCUGCCCUUCCUCGCCCAAAUUUGGAUCUAACAAAUGGAAAGAGCAGAGGCUGAUCGGCACUAAUCGUGGAGCAGCGGCUUUCGUCCUGGAUGUGGAAGAAUCUUGCAGGGCUGGCAACCCUUGCUUUCCUCUGGUUCCUGUGAUCCUAGCAUGCUUUGGCCUGGUCUCGCCUCCCUCUGGCUCCCCGGGCAUGGCGGCGCGUGCAGCCCCGGCCCCUCGUUUGCCUGCAAUGGGCUUUGUGGACGCUGCUGUAUAUCCUCUGUUUCAUCCGAGGGGCUACGCAGACUCAGGCAGCGCUCAGAUUUACGCUUUGAAAACACUGUUUUCUCUCUAUCACGCUUGCCUCUUUGCCUCCCUAUUAUUUGAUUAUAGGAUACACUCGGGAGGUGGACAAAAUAGCAAACAUUUUGAAAAUCUACAUCUCUGUCUCACUGUGUUACAUUUGUCAUGACUUUGUGUGCAGUUUGUUGAUUUAUGAGGAUGUGUUUCACUGUAAUUGUACACUUUUCUCCCCAUCCUUUCAUUGUUAAUCUGACACACUUUUUUUUCCCGUGACUCCCGUUGAUGCGAGGUGGACUUUUUUCAAAAGAUGAAAUGAUUCUACAUGGAGCCACGGUGCCAAUAUGAUGACGGUUACUGGGGAUAAAAAAAUCUCUUGUUUCAUUUGUCUUGAAGUUGAGGAUGCUCUCUCAGUUCACUGUGAAACUGCAAGGGAGCCAAGUCAGGUUACCAUCCAGUGUGUGUUUGUGCUGACCUGCGCAGUAUGCCGCCCAGUAGGGAAGCGUUGAGGCACUCUGGUGGGGACAGUCUUCUUUUCACCUCGGCGAUAGUGACUUUGUAUUUGGAGGUGGAGCUGAGCAGCGACAGUCGGCCCGGUACAGAGCAGAACAAGUCUGUAGGAUUCACCACGCAGGUCCCCCCUGCACACAAACACAGCACACUUGUUACAGCGUUGAACGGCGU